GUCUAACAAAUUCAUAGGUAUGAUUCUCGCUUUGGGUGCGAGAGGUCCCGCGUUCGAAUCGCGGUUCGGGCC
rnacentral:tRNA from 1 species